UAUAAUAAUUUUCCUGUGAUAAAAUGAACUCUCUAUUCGAAUGGACACUUAAUUCCUUAAUUUGGAGUAUGGAAUAUGAUCAAAAUGUAUAAAAGAUAAAUAAUACAUCCAAACUAUACAAAUUAAUAUACGAUGUGCGCCGUUUUUUAAAAAUCGAUUUUGUGACUACCUAUUUAAUAAAGCAAUUUAAAGAAAUACACACGUAUUAGUAUGUAACACAUAGUAUUGCGAAAUCUACAAGUCCUUGUAAAAUAUGCAAAAUAAUAACACUUUUCCUUGUUUGAAAACGCAUUCUGUUUCCUCCAAAGAACAUCGCAUGUCCUCGAAGAUUCAUAUAAAUAAUAUACUAAAUAAGAUAGUUAGUCAGUCUAACUUGCCUAUAUAGUACCCGAUUGUAAGAACUAAUUCAGCUCAUCGUGGACCUAUCCUCGUCGCUGUAUAUUGAAAUUUGAAGUUAUCCUCCAGCCAAGCUGUACACCAUUCAACAAUGAUAGGUACCUAUAAUAAAAUCCGGACUCACACUAAGUAGGUAUCAUAAAACAUUAAGAAAAAAAAAAUUAAUCAAUGAAGCUUGCAGUAGCCAGUAAGUAAAUCAAAACACUCGAUUCCAUUGAUGUAUUUUCCUAUUUUAGUUACUUGUUAACUCGAAACUAAGAAGUAAGUACAAUACAUUAUACAGGAACAUUUAUAGGGAGGUUUUGUAGUUUAAACCUCCCUUCCGAAAAAUAAUAGUAGGUAGUGUAAUUUAUUUAUAUCAAUCAUCGAUAAUUACAAUAACGAGUCGGUGACAGUUUUCUGGAAUAGUGUCGUCGAUAAGAUAUCGAUGUGAUUACAAAAAAUUAUUAGACUAGGUCCAAAGAAAUUAAAAAAUGAACACGAAGCAGAAGAGUUGCAAUUAAUCAUAGUUGAAACUGAGAUGAUCAUGAACUAAGCAACCAGAAAUUUAAUUAACAUAGAAAAUGAAAUUAAUUAAUUAAAAUACAUACAAUGAGUUGAAAACUAAAUGGCCAAAGUUUGAAGAGAUUUGCAUACUUAGACAUAGUGAGUCCAGCACAUUGGCUAUCAGGUGAAGAUUCUAGUAAAGGAUCACUUGGAACCUUAGUGGCAUUGCUAUAUCGUCGAAAAUUUGGACCAUUCAGAGCUUCAAUUAAAGGAACA